rnacentral:rRNA from 1 species
GACGAACGCUGGCGGCGCGCCUAACACAUGCAAGUCGAACGAGAGAUGAGGAGCUUGCUCUUCAAAUCGAGUGGCGAACGGGUGAGUAACGCGUGAGGAACCUGCCUCAAAGAGGGGGACAACAGUUGGAAACGACUGCUAAUACCGCAUAAGCCCACGGCUCGGCAUCGAGCAGAGGGAAAAGGAGCAAUCCGCUUUGAGAUGGCCUCGCGUCCGAUUAGCUAGUUGGUGAGGUAACGGCCCACCAAGGCGACGAUCGGUAGCCGGACUGAGAGGUUGAACGGCCACAUUGGGACUGAGACACGGCCCAGACUCCUACGGGAGGCAGCAGUGGGGAACAUUGCACAAUGGGGGAAACCCUGAUGCAGCGACGCCGCGUGGAGGAAGAAGGUCUUCGGAUUGUAAACUCCUGUUGUUGAGGAAGAUAAUGACGGUACUCAACAAGGAAGUGACGGCUAACUACGUGCCAGCAGCCGCGGUAAAACGUAGGUCACAAGCGUUGUCCGGAAUUACUGGGUGUAAAGGGAGCGCAGGCGGGAGAACAAGUUGGAAGUGAAAUCCAUGGGCUCAACCCAUGAACUGCUUUCAAAACUGUUUUUCUUGAGUAGUGCAGAGGUAGGCGGAAUUCCCGGUGUAGCGGUGGAAUGCGUAGAUAUCGGGAGGAACACCAGUGGCGAAGGCGGCCUACUGGGCACCAACUGACGCUGAGGCUCGAAAGUGUGGGUAGCAAACAGGAUUAGAUACCCUGGUAGUCCACACCGUAAACGAUGAUUACUAGGUGUUGGAGGAUUGACCCCUUCAGUGCCGCAGUUAACACAAUAAGUAAUCCACCUGGGGAGUACGACCGCAAGGUUGAAACUCAAAGGAAUUGACGGGGGCCCGCACAAGCAGUGGAGUAUGUGGUUUAAUUCGACGCAACGCGAAGAACCUUACCAAGUCUUGACAUCCCUUGACGAUGCUGGAAACAGUAUUUCUCUUCGGAGCAAGGAGACAGGUGGUGCAUGGUUGUCGUCAGCUCGUGUCGUGAGAUGUUGGGUUAAGUCCCGCAACGAGCGCAACCCUUAUGGUCAGUUACUACGCAAGAGGACUCUGGCCAGACUGCCGUUGACAAAACGGAGGAAGGUGGGGAUGACGUCAAAUCAUCAUGCCCUUUAUGACUUGGGCUACACACGUACUACAAUGGCGUUAAACAAAGAGAAGCAAGACCGCGAGGUGGAGCAAAACUCAGAAACAACGUCCCAGUUCGGACUGCAGGCUGCAACUCGCCUGCACGAAGUCGGAAUUGCUAGUAAUCGUGGAUCAGCAUGCCACGGUGAAUACGUUCCCGGGCCUU